rnacentral:tmRNA from 1 species
AUUCCCUUUGCCGGUCGCAAGGCCGGCUAUGGCGAUAAACGUUCUUCGAAAUAAACCUAUCGGACCCGGGGGCGGUACCCGGCGCCUCCACCCGAGCCCAGGACCGAUGGCCGCAAGGCCGCAAGGCCGCGGGCAUGAUGACUGAGCUUCGGCGGGGGCGAAAUAGGAUCGACGAGGGCGUAAAGGUUGAGCUUUCGCUCGGCAUGGUUCCGCCGUUAUCGGGCCUUUGCAAUAGUUGCCAACGACAACUUUGCUCCGGUGGCGGUGGCCGCGUAAGCGGUCCCCAAUACCGAUUUGAAGUCCUAGCGGGUAGCACCGCAUAGGCGGGGUUCGGAGGCACCUGGCAACAGAAGCCUCCACUUUAGAA